rnacentral:rRNA from 2 species
AAAGCUUGCUUUUGAAGAUGACGAGCGGCGGACGGGUGAGUAAUGCCUGGGAAUAUGCCUUGAUGUGGGGGAUAACCAUUGGAAACGAUGGCUAAUACCGCAUAAUGCCUACGGGCCAAAGAGGGGGAUCUUCGGACCUCUCGCGUCAAGAUUAGCCCAGGUGGGAUUAGCUAGUUGGUGAGGUAAUGGCUCACCAAGGCGACGAUCCCUAGCUGGUCUGAGAGGAUGAUCAGCCACACUGGAACUGAGACACGGUCCAGACUCCUACGGGAGGCAGCAGUGGGGAAUAUUGCACAAUGGGCGCAAGCCUGAUGCAGCCAUGCCGCGUGUGUGAAGAAGGCCUUCGGGUUGUAAAGCACUUUCAGUCGUGAGGAAGGUAGUUGCGUUAAUAGCGUAAUUAUUUGACGUUAGCGACAGAAGAAGCACCGGCUAACUCCGUGCCAGCAGCCGCGGUAAUACGGAGGGUGCGAGCGUUAAUCGGAAUUACUGGGCGUAAAGCGCAUGCAGGUGGUUUGUUAAGUCAGAUGUGAAAGCCCGGGGCUCAACCUCGGAAUUGCAUUUGAAACUGGCAGACUAGAGUACUGUAGAGGGGGGUAGAAUUUCAGGUGUAGCGGUGAAAUGCGUAGAGAUCUGAAGGAAUACCGGUGGCGAAGGCGGCCCCCUGGACAGAUACUGACACUCAGAUGCGAAAGCGUGGGGAGCAAACAGGAUUAGAUACCCUGGUAGUCCACGCCGUAAACGAUGUCUACUUGGAGGUUGUGGCCUUGAGCCGUGGCUUUCGGAGCUAACGCGUUAAGUAGACCGCCUGGGGAGUACGGUCGCAAGAUUAAAACUCAAAUGAAUUGACGGGGGCCCGCACAAGCGGUGGAGCAUGUGGUUUAAUUCGAUGCAACGCGAAGAACCUUACCUACUCUUGACAUCCAGAGAAGCCAGCGGAGACGCAGGUGUGCCUUCGGGAACUCUGAGACAGGUGCUGCAUGGCUGUCGUCAGCUCGUGUUGUGAAAUGUUGGGUUAAGUCCCGCAACGAGCGCAACCCUUAUCCUUGUUUGCCAGCGAGUAAUGUCGGGAACUCCAGGGAGACUGCCGGUGAUAAACCGGAGGAAGGUGGGGACGACGUCAAGUCAUCAUGGCCCUUACGAGUAGGGCUACACACGUGCUACAAUGGCGCAUACAGAGGGCUGCCAACCAGCGAUGGUGAGCGAAUCCCAAAAAGUGCGUCGUAGUCCGGAUUGGAGUCUGCAACUCGACUCCAUGAAGUCGGAAUCGCUAGUAAUCGUGGAUCAGAAUGCCACGGUGAAUACGUUCCCGGGCCUUGUACACACCGCCCGUCACACCAUGGGAGUGGGCUGCAAAAGAAGUGGGUAGUUUAACCUUUCGAGGAG